rnacentral:rRNA from 1 species
GUCUGUUUGGAGAUAUAAAGAGUCUGGCCUGCCCACUGAUAGUUUUAAAGGGCCGCGGUAAUCUGACCGUGCAAAGGUAGCAUAAUCGUUAGUUUUUUAAUUGGAAUCUUGUAUGAAUGGUUGAACAAAAGAAUAACUGUCUCUAUAUUUUAUUUGAAUUUAACUUUUAAGUGAAAAGGCUUAAAUAUUUUAAAAAGACGAUAAGACCCUGUAAAGCUUGAUAAAUUUUAUUAUUUAACUAAGUUAAUAUAGUUAUAAAAGUUUAAUGAGAAUAGUUUAUUUUAUUGGGGCGAUAAUGAUAAAAUGUUUUUAACUGUUGAUAAAAAAAGACAAAGUUUAAUGUAUAUGUAUAUUUAAAUGAUCCUUAAAUUAAGAUUAAAAGUUUAAGUUACUUCAGGGAUAACAGCGUUAUUUUUCUUGAGAGUUCCUAUCGAAAGAAAAGUUUGCGACCUCGAUGUUGAAUUAAAAUUUCUAUAUAAUUGUAGCAGUUAUAUAAGAGGGUCUGUUCGACCUUUAAAUUUUUACAUGAUUUGAGUUCAGACCGGCGUGAG